ensembl:lncRNA
UAUUAGUAAUAUUAACUGUAAUAUUAGUAAUAGUAACAGUAAUAUUAAUUUAAUAUUAGUAAUAGUAACAGUAAUAUUACUGUGAUAUUAGUAAUAUAACAGUAAUUUUAGUAAUAGUAACAGUAAUUUUAGUAAUAGUAACAGUAAUAUUACUAUCAUUGUUCAUCGUGCGUCCCCCCGUUGCCUCGUGGAGUGUUGAUCGCUUCAAUAAUUAAACUGCAGAACUUCCUCUUUGAAGUCGUGCUCCUUUCUCCUCUUUGAAAUAACUUCCCCGACCUCGUGAGUCCUGACGGGGGGGUGGAGGAGGAGUAGGAGGGGGGUGGGGCUACACCGCGGCGUUCCUCCAUAUUGGCUCUGACAGAGCGGCCCGGAGGAGGCGCCGCUGAAACACAUAAAAGAGGAACAAAUGAUUGGAGUCGGUCAGGAAGGUUCUCUGCUGCUGUCACAGGGAACAGCCCCGGGUGGAGAUGCAGGGUGGAGGAGUCCUGAGACAAAUACAUGCGGUCUCUGCGGGACAGUGCAGCCGUGUAUCAGAGAUCACUGCUCUUGUUCUAAAGCUUCGGUUAAUAAACUCUAUAUAUACACAUUUAAAUACAAAACCUGCUGCGACGAGAGUCAGAAACCACUUCCUGUGUUUCGGGAGCAGAAGAAUCCUCCGACAGGUAAAAGUCAUCCAGUAUUUGUGCAGAGAUGUGGCUCUAAACGCUUCCAGACACAACUUUUAUCCUUCACUGGUAAACUUUCUUAUACUUCCAUCUAUAAUAAAAGGAGACGUUAAACACGAAGACGAUCCAGAGGAAAGUCCAUCUUCUACAAAUACUUCACAGAGUGAGACGGUUCAUUCUGGACACAAAGUAUUUCAUUGUGUCUGGAUUCAUUUAUUUACUUCAAGGGGGAUUUAAUUAUUCGUACACACACACGUUUUAAAGGGUUUGGAGCUCCUGCAGUUUUUUUGAACUCUACAUUAAAGCAGAUUUUCCCGCCUUUUCAUACGUCGACGCCUCUCAGAGUGUCGUUGCCGUGACGAUAUGAAAAGUGACGAGCGUCUCUCUGGUUGUGACACUCGGACGCAGUCUGACGUGAAGGAGACCGCCGGCCCGCCGCCACGACCUCCAGCCGCCUCCGCUGACACCGCUCGGCAUUAUGGGUGUUAUUAUCACAUGUCAUGUGACAGCCUGACAGAGUCUAACAAUCCCGCCUCCGGCGCGCGGUGUCAUGGCGGAUGAUGGAUAGCGCUCGGCUCUCAUUCGUUUCCAUUAGAACGAUAUGUAAAUCCCUCCUGGAGCCGAAUAUUCAUUUAGGAAUCAAUUCCAGAAGCUUCUGGUCAAACUGGCAGAUAAGGAGUCUGUCCGUCUCCAUUUGUCUCCGGCUGGAGACGAGUCCAUCGGCAGAGACACAGCCGGAGACAUGGAGACCCUGGAGGACACCCUGAGGAUCGGCUGCUGGGGAGACAGAGACAUAAAGCACGUCCCCAUGGCGUGCGCCAGGUACCUUCAAAAUAAACCUCAGUGUUCACAAUAUAUAAGUAUUAUACCGAAUAAAGAAUGUGGAGCCACCAUGUAUUUUCAAAAUAAUGUCCUCAGGAAGCAUCGUUGAGCAUGGUGCGGCUUCAAAAUAAAGCGGAACCGGAGUGAGCUUAGUGGUCAGGUAAUAAAAGUAUCGGUUGGGAUGAGGACCAGCUUGUAGUUUGGCACAUUUAAGACACCACAGCUGAUAAUGAUAUAAGUAUUCUAAACAUCUGGGUGAAGGUGAACGUCUGCAUCGCGUCACCAUUCAAAUGAUCCAAAGCUACGGUGGCCCCCGAGGGACAAAUCUAUUAUUAACACGCUGCUCCGCUCAUUUAAAAAAAUGAAAAAGGGCCACCUCGCCGCCGGGAUCGAGCGCCCGGGGCCCCCCGGCCACCGGCUGCUUUAUUAUUAACGAGGGCCCUCUGAAUAAUCUGCGGGGGUCAAUGGGGGGGGUCUAAAAACCAGCGGCCUGGUCCUUUAACAGCGAAUGUUUAAAGGAGGAGAUGUGCAAGAGUUUGAUUCUGAUCUGAUUUACACUCUAUAAAGAUAGUCAGGCGUAUUAGCAUGUAGCAUGUAGCUUCGUUUCCCAAAUUGUUUGGACAAAAGCUCACAAAUCAUUUGUUCACUUUGAUGUAAUAUCUCAACUUUUGGGGCUUAAACGUUUGAUUUUAGAGUCAUGUAAGUAUUUAGAAUCAUCAAAACUGAUCGUCAUCAAUUCAUCGAGUGACAGAUCGUCCAUCCAUCCAUCCAUCCUCACACCGCUCAUCCUGCACACGGGGUCUUGGGGGCUGGAGCCAAUCACAGGGCUACACAGAGACACACAACCACUCACACACCUACAGGCAACUAGUCCCAUCAACCUGAUCCCAGAGCAGGUCUCUGGACUGUGGGGGAACCCGGAGAACCCGGAGAGAACCACGCAGACACGGGGAGAACAUGCAGACUGCACACAGAGAGGAACCAGGACCUUCUUGCUGUGAGGGGACGGUGAAAAACCACCACGCCACCGUUGCCGCCCCCCCACCGACAGAUCAAUACAUUAAAAAGUACUUAAAUAAGAAGAUUUCCAUUUAAUUUAACUGAUAACUGAAUACUUUCUGCACUUUGACUAAAGGUUAAAGCUCAGCGGGAACCAGCCAAUCAGCAGCGAGGCCUUCGGUGUCACCAACUAAUGCCUCAUGAAUAUUCAUGAUGUGUUCCUCUGAAAAAUAGCAGCUGUUUUCCACCAAACGCCAUCUGUUCCUGUGGAAACGUGUGCACACAUACACGCCCAUAUUUACGUAUUAUAGCUGAAAUAAAAACUAAAUCCUCGUUCAGACCCAACAACUGGUAUUACUCCACCCACUGUUUUCACUCCUCAACAGGAAGUUGCAGCAGACUAUCAAACUAAAGUUUGGUUGCUUAAAUGAGAGGAGGUGGAGGAAGAGGAGGACGAGGAGGAGGAGCAGCGAGACGAAGGGCCGGCGGGGCUUCAGCUGAGGGAGGUCAGCGCUCGCCGGGUCCUCCAGGUCUCGGCUCUCUGGAGGUCCUCAUUAAAACUCCGCCCCCAUCGCUGUGCCCCCUCUCCACCUCUCCACCACCCCGGCCCACCUUCUCCAUCCUCCUCGGAGGACUCGAACACGUCUGCACUGAAACACUUUCCACCUCGAGUGGAAUACGUCAUCUCAUUAACAUGUAAAUGUAGAUAUGAAGUAUUAUGAGUAGAAGAACAUGAAGCUUAAGAAGGUUCUGAUGACGAGCAGAGAGACCUUCACCCAGGAGACUCACGCCCUGUGACCCCGAGAGGAGGCGGGGCCUCUGUGGGGCCGCACGCGGUUUACUCACACGUCCUGUUUCUGUCUCCUUUAAUAUAACCGUGUUCAUGACUCC